CGCGGCCUAUCAGCUUGUUGGUGAGGUAAUGGCUCACCAAGACGACGACGGGUAGCCGGCCUGAGAGGGCGACCAGCCACACUGGGACUGAGACACGGCCCAGACUCCUACGGGAGGCAGCAGUGGGGAAUAUUGCACAAUGGGGGAAACCCUGAUGCAGCGACGCAGCGUGCGGGAUGACGGCCUUCGGGUUGUAAACCGCUUUCAGCAGGGAAGAAGCGAAAGUGACGGUACCUGCAGAAGAAGUACCGGCUAACUACGUGCCAGCAGCCGCGGUAAUACGUAGGGUACGAGCGUUGUCCGGAAUUAUUGGGCGUAAAGAGCUCGUAGGUGGUUGGUCACGUCUGCUGUGGAAACGCAACGCUUAACGUUGCGCGUACAGUGGGUACGGGCUGACUAGAGUGCAGUAGGGGAGUCUGGAAUUCCUGGUGUAGCGGUGAAAUGCGCAGAUAUCAGGAGGAACACCGGUGGCGAAGGCGGGACUCUGGGCUGUAACUGACACUGAGGAGCGAAAGCAUGGGGAGCGAACAGGAUUAGAUACCCUGGUAGUCCAUGCCGUAAACGUUGGGCACUAGGUGUGGGGGACAUUCCACGUUCUCCGCGCCGUAGCUAACGCAUUAAGUGCCCCGCCUGGGGAGUACGG
rnacentral:rRNA from 1 species